rnacentral:lncRNA from 1 species
UUCAACAACCUUUUCUUCAACUUCAUGAGAUGGUUCCUCCAGACUUGCAGGGUUUUCCUGAGCUUUGACAUUCAGUGAAACUUGUGUCGUCUUCACUGUGGUGUUAGUUUCACUUUCCACCCCCUUUUCAGUUUUCUCUUCAUUGAAUGAUAUGGAGUCUUUGAUUGUGGCAUCUAGAGAUCCUUCACUUUUUUCAGUUGCUUCCUUUGGCUCCACCUCCUUAUUAGUUUCCCCAAUUUCCUCACCUACUUGUAAUUGUUCUCUUGACUUUUCCUCCACUCCAUUAGACAGAGCAUCUGUAUCUGUGUUCUCUUCCAACUUUGAGUUAUCAGUCUCUUUCACCACCUCAAUAUCUGAGUCUUUGGGAAGGUUAACCUCCACUGUAUCAGCGGUUAGUUCUUGAACUUCAGCUGCUUCCUUUAGCUUCUCUUCUUCCUCUUGUUUGAAUAUUUGAAUUUCUGGCUCACUUUGCUUUUCAUCCACUUCAGUACCCACAGGCUCUGCCUUCUCUGUUUCUGUAGGCACUACUUCGUCGUUGUUAGUCUCUUUCAAUAGGUCUGCCUCAUGUUCUAUUUCUCUUGUUUUUUCUUCUACAGCAAUGGCAUCACUGGUCUCUGCAGAGUGUUCAGGAAUUGCAGCAAAUGUGUCUGAUUGCGUCUUUUCCUUUUGUUCUGUUGAAUGCUGUUCUGGUUCUUUCUUAUUUUCUUCAACUUCAGUAACCACAGGUUCUGCAUUUUCUGUUUCUGUAGGCUCAACAUCAGUAACCACAGAUUCGUCUUCUCCUUUUUCCGUAGGCACCCGACGACAAUGAAAAAAAGAAAACAAAUAUGUAAAAUCUGCAAGCUUAAUUCAAUCAGUCCCAUUAUUUGACUUUAAUGUCCCCCUUUGGUUCUGAGGACAGAUUUUUGGAAGAUGGAGAUUUUCCGGUGAUAGCCUUCUUUGCUUUCACUAGUGACUGUUUUACCUUUGAUAUGAUGUUAUUUGACUGCUUUUGAACUGGCUUGGUUGGAGUUUCUUUUGGAAGGUCCUUGGAUGUCUUUGUUGUAUCAUUUUCCUUGGUGGCUUCAACCUCAGUUUUCACUGGCUCGUCAAUUUGUUCUUUCUCCAAAUUAGCUGCUCCAGUUUUAACAAAUUCCUCCUCUUCUUUUUCUUCAAAUUUAGAUGCCAGUGUUUCUCUAACAGGUGCACUUACAGCAUUAGAGAUUUCAUCCACCUUUGUGUCAGCAUCUCCUUCUUUCUUGUUAUCAACUUCUUCAUUUUUCACACUCUCUACAUUCACACUCCCUUCUUCAGGUAUAGCUGCCGUUGCAUCCUUCUGUUCCUCAGGCUUCUUGAUAUCAACCUCUACCUCUCUUGAAGAUACUUGGACAGCAUCAGGUGCUUCUGAUUCCUUCUUUUCAUCCUCUGCAGCAGCAACAACAAACUUUUCCUCGACACUGGUAGGGUUCUCCGUAUCACUGGCCGCUUCUUUUGACUCAAUCGCAUCAGUAAAGCUUGAUUCUUUCUUGACAUCUUCUUCAACAACCUUUUCUUCAACUUCAUGAGAUGGUUCCUCCAGACUUGCAGGGUUUUCCUGAGCUUUGACAUUCAGUGAAACUUGUGUCGUCUUCACUGUGGUGUUAGUUUCACUUUCCACCCCCUUUUCAGUUUUCUCUUCAUUGAAUGAUAUGGAGUCUUUGAUUGUGGCAUCUAGAGAUCCUUCACUUUUUUCAGUUGCUUCCUUUGGCUCCACCUCCUUAUUAGUUUCCCCAAUUUCCUCACCUACUUGUAAUUGUUCUCUUGACUUUUCCUCCACUCCAUUAGACAGAGCAUCUGUAUCUGUGUUCUCUUCCAACUUUGAGUUAUCAGUCUCUUUCACCACCUCAAUAUCUGAGUCUUUGGGAAGGUUAACCUCCACUGUAUCAGCGGUUAGUUCUUGAACUUCAGCUGCUUCCUUUAGCUUCUCUUCUUCCUCUUGUUUGAAUAUUUGAAUUUCUGGCUCACUUUGCUUUUCAUCCACUUCAGUACCCACAGGCUCUGCCUUCUCUGUUUCUGUAGGCACUACUUCGUCGUUGUUAGUCUCUUUCAAUAGGUCUGCCUCAUGUUCUAUUUCUCUUGUUUUUUCUUCUACAGCAAUGGCAUCACUGGUCUCUGCAGAGUGUUCAGGAAUUGCAGCAAAUGUGUCUGAUUGCGUCUUUUCCUUUUGUUCUGUUGAAUGCUGUUCUGGUUCUUUCUUAUUUUCUUCAACUUCAGUAACCACAGGUUCUGCAUUUUCUGUUUCUGUAGGCUCAACAUCAGUAACCACAGAUUCGUCUUCUCCUUUUUCCGUAGGCUCCACUUUAAUGUUAUUGGUCUCUUCCGGAUUUCUCCACUGUUGUCUUUUCCUCUAUGGUCUUGCUCUGUUUCUCAUCGGCUUCCGCUGAGGGUUCAGCAUCAGCAAUUGCAACUGCGCUUGGUUGUGCUGCCUCUUCUGAUUUUUCUUGUGAUUCUUUUUCUUGUUUUGUUACUUCCUUCUCUUCAGUGGCCACAG